GUCCCCGAGCGGGAUGCUCUUGUGCGCGGGGCCGCUUGCGGGCAGGGGCGGCCCUCGGAGAGACCACGCGGGCGCGAAAAGGGCCGGCGCUUCUGCACAACCGCCCUGCCUUGGACCACCUGGGACCCUCUGGGUGCGUGGGGAACUCCGUUCAAAUAGUGUGGGGGGCCCUGAUGUCACCUCCUGAUCGUCGCUAGGCCAGGUGGGACUUGUCUCUUGAGUCUGCAAACUCCUGGCCCCACCGGCUUGAAGCAAAGGGGCAGCUGGCUUCUCAGGAGCCCCGGAUGAGGCCUCUCAAGCUUCAGGGUGACUUCAGACCAUCUGGUGUCAACAUGCAGAUUCCUGGGUGGAGUCUGCAUCUGGGGUCUGUAGUCAGGCCUAGGGAUCCGCACUCAUGAAGCCUUGUGGCCGCGCUGUCUGGACAUCCUGUCUUUGCUGUGGGUGGAGAGCGGCUGACUCUACCUCUCCCAGGGGGCUUGGCCGUAGGACACGGGUGUGGGAAGGAUUUGCAGGAUGAGGGGCAGGCUGCCUUGGGGGCGGGGGGUGCAGCUACCAUGUCUCCCCAGGGUUGACAGGACCAGGCGCAAGGACCCGGGAGGCAGCAGACAAAUUGGAACCCCAGAUAAAUGAAGAGCUCCGGUACAGUAAAUGUCUCAAGUAUUUUA